ensembl:lncRNA
AGAGUAUAUAUCCCACGUCGACUGUCGCCGCGAGUCCAGGUUAAAUACCUCUUCCUAGCCGGGAGGGAUGAUUACCACCAGCUGGUCAGGUAAUCAGCUGCAACAGCAAAGAGGGACUCCCGAUGACGACAGUCGCCCGGACACGCCUCUCCCAGACAGAUUUUUCAAAACAGAUGAAGUUCCCAGCAUGUGGCUGUGCCCUGUGAACUUUGGUACACACUGGAUUCUUGUGAAAAUACUGCUCAUAGACCCAAUGGGGAAAGAAGGUUUUUAUGACAGGAAACUUCUGCGCAACUGGAGGAAUUUUCUGAGGAUGAGAGGGCAUGAAGACACCAUGGAGGUUACAGACUGCAACACAACAAGCAACAGGAUUCCAGCAGUUGUGGAUUUAUUAUUCAAAUGAGUCCAUUUAAUGUUAACUAUAAUUAAGAUUUUACAUUAUAAUUAUGAUAAAUCUCACCGUUUGCAGAAAACUACCUUGCUUUUUGAGAGGUCAGUGAGGUGUUAACCACUACGGAAGUAGUUGUGCUGGAGCGAAUGCAGAUAGCUUGCACCCUCGUUGAACAUCGAGUCCAGUAACGUCCCUAUCACGUUAGAGUGUGUAAUUCCAAUUUAAAUAGUGUUUUUCAAACAGCACAGUACAAAUAGUAUUUUGUAAACACUUUCUGAUAAGACCUUUCUUAAAUUCUAAUUAAAAAGAUUCAGGAGACUAAUUUGC